rnacentral:lncRNA from 1 species
AGAUCUUCUUGUGACAACUAUUAUAGGAGAUGUAGGUGCGAUAUCUUCUCCUCACUACUAGACUAUUAUAGGAUAUGUAGAUGACGCGAGAAGGCAGUGGUCCCCAUGACCCAGAUUACGCGGAAUCUUGAUAGAGAUUGAAGUAGGGGAUUAUGGCUUUGCGGGGCCAUAAAUCCUGUAGCUCAAGAACAAGAGAUAAGUCUGAGUGGCCAAGUUUCCGGGUAGGGUGCGGAACGGCGCACACGCCAGCUUUAGAAUUCCACAUCGCAGGAAUUUGGUUGGAGGUUGUAACCCCGAUCCUUGUCCAGUAGGUCUCUUCAGCCCAACAUUCUUUUGACCGGAAGUGGCUCUGCUAACCAUCUAUUUGAUAAUUCUCAUCAGGUGGGAUGGCAAAAAAGUGUUGCAGCUGAAGAAAGAAUUGCCGUUCUAUAGUUUACAACUAUAGGGAAUUGCCGCCAACGGAGCGAGCGGGAUUCUAGGCACUUCAAGAUAUUCUGAGUGGGAC